AUUCCGUGAUGAGGGCACUUUCCUAAUAAUUCUUUGUACCUUUGCCAUGCCUAAUACAAGGACUCAUCAUCCAUUUGUUAGAAAGUAAUGAUCCUGUUCCUCAACUU
rfam:Gossypium arboreum cultivar AKA8401 contig_106055_1, whole genome shotgun sequence.